GGUGAAUGGUGUGCACAGUGUUGGUCUGUGUUAUGUGCUGUUGCUGGAUUGUGUUUUGCAGUCUUGGUAGCAAUGCUCACUCCACACCUGUAGCCAUAGAACAACUGGAGAUCAUAGUACUGGCCCUUGACGUUCUUUUUUUCAGACCUCUCACCAUCGGCCAGCCUCCAAAUUCUCCAACAUUU
rnacentral:snoRNA from 1 species